UCACACAAGGACAGCCACUGAAGAACAC
rnacentral:piRNA from 1 species